UUUUAUUAUUAGCUCAAUAUAAGAUUGGGGACUACAAGCAAUAGCUUAAAAACCUAAGAAUUUGGGGGUGUUUUAUUCAAUCAGGGGGACCUGUACUUUAAAUCGACAAUCCACGAUAAACUCUAUCUAAUUUUAAUAAAUUAAUAUAUAUAUUAACUUGUGUACUGCCGUUUUAUAAGCCCUUUAGGAUCUCUUAUAAUUAAUUAAAAAAAAAAAUAAAAAGUCAGGUCAUAGUGCAGUUUACGGUUAGAUAGUUCAUGGGUCACAUUUUUAAAAAUAAAUUAGUAUUAUAAAUUAAUUUUUAUGAUAAAUUUAGAACUUGAUAGUAAUUAUAAAAUUAUUUAUAUUAUAAUGAAUAUGAACCUAAAACAAGUACAUAUCGCCCGUCACUCCUUUAUACAGGAUAAGUCGUAACAUAGUAGAUGUAAUGGAAAUUGCAUCUGU
rnacentral:rRNA from 1 species